UCUUGCUGCAAUUUUCAUCUGGUGUCCCACUGAAGCUAAACAGGGUUGAGCCUGGCCAGUACCUGGAUGGGAGACCAAAAACUAAGGUUGCUGCUGGAA
rnacentral:rRNA from 1 species